AGCAAAAGACGUCUUAAAAUUGAGAAAAAACAUGUCACUAUUCCAUAGAAGCAAGCAAUAAUAGUCCACCCAUCACAGUUGCUAAUCCACAGAUUGAACUUAUGUUAACAAUAGACGAAAAAGGUGAAUGGGAUGCAAUGUUGAGAUGGAAACAGCAUGAAGAAGAGUGAAAAGAAUAAAACACAAUUAGUUAUGUAAUUAUCCUUUUAUUCACCAUCUAAGACCUCUCUACUCAACUAAUAAUAGAAUCCAUAGAAUCUCAGCAAACAAGUAAAUGACAAAAGACUCCAUCAAUCUCUGAGGAAGAGAUUCAUUCAUAAAAUCAAUACGCAUUUCAAGAAACACCUAAACUCAUUUCAUUUUAAUUAUACUCAGUU